UACGGGGGGGAGCAAGCGUUGUUCGGAUUUACUGGGCGUAAAGGGCGCGUAGGCGGUCAGCACAAGUCAGUUGUGAAAUCUCCGGGCUUAACUCGGAAAGGUCAACUGAUACUGUGCGACUAGAGUGCAGAAGGGGCAACUGGAAUUCUCGGUGUAGCGGUGAAAUGCGUAGAUAUCAGCAGGAACACCCGUGGCGAAGGCGGCUUCCUGGAUCACCCCUGACGCUGAGACGCGAAAGCGUGGGGAGCGAACGGG
rnacentral:rRNA from 1 species